rnacentral:tRNA from 1 species
GGUGCGGUAGCUCAGUUGGUAGAGCACUAGACUGAAAAUCUAGGUGUCGCCGGUUCGACCCCGGCCCACACCA